ensembl:snRNA U1 U1 spliceosomal RNA
AUACUUACCUGGCAGGGGAGAUACCAUGAUCAUGAAGGUGUUUUCCCAGGGCGAGGCUUAUCCAUUGCACUCCGGAUGUGCUAAGCCCUGAGAUUUUCCCAAAUGUGGGAAACUUGACUGCAUAAUUUGUGGUAGUGGGGGACUGGUUUGUGCUCUCCCCUA